UGCCAAGGAAGCUUAUCUCAAGGGAAAUGC
rnacentral:piRNA from 1 species